GGCUUGUAUGAGUGCAGUGGUUUUACAAUUAAUUGAUCACAACUAGCUCAGAUUUCUUUGCUCCUUCUCCACUUCCACUGCUUCACUUGACAGAAAA
rnacentral:Y_RNA from 1 species